rnacentral:rRNA from 2 species
GAGUUUGAUCCUGGCUCAGGAUGAACGCUGGCGGCAGGCCUAACACAUGCAAGUCGAACGGAGUUAUAUUGUAGCUUGCUAUGGUAUAACUUAGUGGCAGACGGGUGAGUAAUGUAUAGGAAUCUACCUAGUAGUACGGAAUAAUUGUUGGAAACGGCAACUAAUACCGUAUACGCCCUACGGGGGAAAAAUUUAUUGCUAUUAGAUGAGCCUAUAUUAGAUUAGUUAGUUGGUGAGGUAAAGGCUUACCAAGACAAUGAUCUAUAGCUGAUCUGAGAGGAUGAUCAGCCACACUGGAACUGAGAUACGGUCCAGACUCCUACGGGAGGCAGCAGUGGGGAAUAUUGGACAAUGGGCGAAAGCCUGAUCCAGCCAUGCCGCAUGAGUGAAGAAGGCCUUCGGGUUGUAAAGCUCUUUUAGUGAGGAAGAUAAUGACGGUACUCACAGAAGAAGUCCUGGCUAACUCCGUGCCAGCAGCCGCGGUAAUACGGAGAGGGCUAGCGUUAUUCGGAAUCAUUGGGCGUAGAGGGCGCGUAGGCGGGUUAGUAAGUUAAAAGUGAAAUCCCAAGGCUCAACCUUGGAACUGCUUUUAAAACUGCUAGUCUAGAGAUUGAAAGAGGGUAGAGGAAUUCCUAGUGUAGAGAUGAAAUUCGUAAAUAUUAGGAGGAACACCAGUGGCNAA